AGAGUUUGAUCCUGGCUCAGUUUAAACGCUGGCGGCAUGCCUUACACAUGCAAGUCGAACGGCAGCACGGGGGCAACCCUGGUGGCGAGUGGCGGACGGGUGAGUAAUACAUCGGAACGUACCCUGGAGUGGGGGAUAACGUAGCGAAAGUUACGCUAAUACCGCAUAUUCUGUGAGCAGGAAAGCAGGGGAUCGCAAGACCUUGCGCUCUGGGAGCGGCCGAUGUCGGAUUAGCUAGUUGGUGGGGUAAAGGCCUACCAAGGCGACGAUCCGUAGCGGGUCUGAGAGGAUGAUCCGCCACACUGGGACUGAGACACGGCCCAGACUCCUACGGGAGGCAGCAGUGGGGAAUUUUGGACAAUGGGCGAAAGCCUGAUCCAGCCAUGCCGCGUGAGUGAAGAAGGCCUUCGGGUUGUAAAGCUCUUUCGGCGGGGAAGAAAUUGCUUGGGUUAAUACCCUGAGUAGAUGACGGUACCCGAAUAAGAAGCACCGGCUAACUACGUGCCAGCAGCCGCGGUAAUACGUAGGGUGCGAGCGUUAAUCGGAAUUACUGGGCGUAAAGCGUGCGCGGGCGGUUUUGUAAGUCAGAUGUGAAAUCCCCGGGCUCAACCUGGGAACUGCAUUUGAGACUGCAAGACUGGAGUUUGGCAGAGGGGGGUGGAAUUCCACGUGUAGCAGUGAAAUGCGUAGAGAUGUGGAGGAACACCGAUGGCGAAGGCAGCCCCCUGGGCCAAUACUGACGCUCAUGCACGAAAGCGUGGAGAGCAAACAGGAUUAGAUACCCUGGUAGUCCACGCCCUAAACGAUGUCAACUAGGUGUUGGGAGGGUUAAACCUUUUAGUGCCGUAGCUAACGCGUGAAGUCGACCGCCUGGGGAGUACGGCCGCAAGGCUAAAACUCAAAGGAAUUGACGGGGACCCGCACAAGCGGUGAUGAUGUGGAUUAAUUCGAUGCAACGCGAAAAACCUUACCUACCCUUGACAUGUCAGGAAUCCCGGAGAGAUUUGGGAGUGCUCGCAAGAGAACCUGAACACAGGUGCUGCAUGGCUGUCGUCAGCUCGUGUCGUGAGAUGUUGGGUUAAGUCCCGCAACGAGCGCAACCCUUGUCAUUAAUUGCCAUCUUUAAGUAGGGCACUUUAAUGAGACUGCCGGUGACAAACCGGAGGAAGGUGGGGAUGACGUCAAGUCCUCAUGGCCCUUAUGGGUAGGGCUUCACACGUCAUAUAAUGGUCGGUCCAGAGGGUUGCCAACCCGCGAGGGGGAGCCAAUCUCAGAAAGCCGAUCGUAGUCCGGAUCGCAGUCUGCAACUCGACUGCGUGAAGUCGGAAUCGCUAGUAAUCGCGGAUCAGCAUGUCGCGGUGAAUACGUUCCCGGGUCUUGUACACACCGCCCGUCACACCAUGGGAGCGGGUUCUGCCAGAAGUAGUUAGCCUAACCGCAAGGAGGGCGAUUACCA
rnacentral:rRNA from 1 species